CCUACGGGGGGCAGCAGUGGGGAAUAUUGGACAAUGGGGGGAACCCUGAUCCAGCGACGCCGCGUGAGUGAAGAAGUAUUUCGGUAUGUAAAGCUCUAUCAGCAGGGAAGAAAGAAAUGACGGUACCUGACUAAGAAGCCCCGGCUAACUACGUGCCAGCAGCCGCGGUAAUACGUAGGGGGCAAGCGUUAUCCGGAUUUACUGGGUGUCAAGGGAGCGUAGACGGCGAUGCAAGUCUGAAGUGAAAGGCGGGGGCCCAACCCCCGGAAUGCUUGGGAAACUGGAUGGCUUGAGAGCAGGAGAGGUAAGUGGAAGUCCGAGUGUAGCGGUGAAAUGCGGAGAUAGUAGGAGGAACACCAGUGGCGAAGGCGGCUUACUGGACUGUAACUGACGUUGAGGCUCGAAAGCGUGGGGAGCAAACAGGAUUAGAUACCCUUGUAGUC
rnacentral:rRNA from 1 species